rnacentral:rRNA from 1 species
UACGUAGGGGGCAAGCGUUGUCCGGAUUUAUUGGGCGUAAAGAGCGUGUAGGCGGCCAGACAGGUCCGUUGUGAAAACUCGAGGCUCAACCUCGAGAUGUCGAUGGAAACCGUCUGGCUAGAGUCCGGAAGAGGAGUGUGGAAUUCCCGGUGUAGCGGUGAAAUGCGUAGAUAUCGGGAGGAACAUCGAUGGCGAAGGCAAUAGCCUGGACCUGAACGGACACUGAAACACGAAAGCGUGGGGAGCAAACAGG